UGCUGAGACAGUGGAGAUUCAUUACUCCUAAAACACAAUGGACAUUUAUCACCCUGUGGUGUUAUUCAAAUUCAGUACCAAUUGAAGGCCAUCCCCAUUCUUUGCUAUCUUCCUCGGCAACACACUUAUUGUUGGGGCGCUCAAGAAAAAGCCUCCACGAGUCCAAGCAAGCAUUUAAAAAGCAAGCAGCAUCUAUUGCCUCGACGGUGAGGACUUCCAAAGGCUUCAGAUAGGCUGUUAUUUAACCUGCCCACUCUAGGUUAGAUUUAAAAGGCAUUCCACUGCAGAAUCCAGAUCUAAUUUUGUUUUGUGGAUGGCUCCUGUUUUCGAAGAGAUGAUGGUGAACUUGUAGCAGCCUCUUCCAUUUGUACACAAGACAGACUUGUGUUAGCUGAACAAUUAAACAGGAACUCAUGGACUUAUCUUUUCAGAAUCAGGCAGAAGAUUCUGAAAGAACGAGGUGGAUAAAUGAUGGCUGCAGUCAGUAUCUCGACCUUUUGUGGUGCCACCCACAUGGACAAUUAGUAGCCUCACAAAAUUUCUAACUCAUUUGGUCUAAGCCUACCAUUUACCUUUUCAUUACGGUAAAAUACUUUAAACAGAUUUUCUGUGAUUGGUAUGCCCCUCACCUUUCAGAAGUUGCUCAACAUUUUGUAAAUACUUGUGUAAUUUCCUUAGGACACAACGUAUCUGAAUCUGUACUUGUACCUAUUCAAACACUGAAAAAACAUUGUGGGCUAUUUUGCUCCACGCAAUAGGACUUUAUUGAACUUCAAGUGCAAAAAUUUAAAUUUACAUUGGUGGUAGUUGACACUUUUUCUGGAUAGGUAGAGGCUACCAAGUAUAAAAAAAUGAUGCAAGGACAGUAGCUAAGAAAUUACAGAAUUGAUCCCAAGAUUUGGGGUUCAUUGUUGCAUUCAAUCAGAUCAGGGUACUCACUUUACUAGUCAAGUAAUAUAGCAGAUUUGUAAAAUUUGAAAUAUGAAUUUGCAGUUUCAUUGUCCCUACAGACCAUCACCUUCAGGAAUUGUGAAACUGGCUAAUCAGUCAAUCAAAACCCAUUUAGCCAAAAUUUGUUAGGAGAAUGAUCUUAAGUGGCCAGAAACUUUGCCCUUAGUUUUAUUUAGUAUGGGAAAUGCUGCCACUACCAUUAGAGAACUAUCCCUCAUUAAAUUCUUGGACAGGCCCAUGAGAAUGCCUGUUGAACCCCUCCCCAAGAAACUGGAAUUACAAGAUGUUGACGAAUAUGUUUUUUUUGUAUUGAAAAUCUCUCUAUUCCGUCUUGCAGAAUUACCAUAAAUCUGCCGUACAUGCAGUAGAACGACAUAUAAAACAAGAAAAUCAUGAAUCGCAGCCCAGACAUUCUGUCUACAUUAAAGUACAUUCCCAGAGUCAUACACAGCUCCAGAUGGCAGGGACCCUACUUGGUUUUGCUCACAACUGCUACUAACAUCUGUUGUGAGGCCCAUCUGGAUAUAUGUGUCUCAUGUCAAGAACACCCUCACUCAAGAUAAGUGCAGAUGAGACUCCAUUGACAUCAUUCCACAUGAAGCAGCACAACCAUAUGAAAAAACAGGGACACCAUUAUAUCCUCAAGUGACAGUCAAUGAUGUUUUACUAUCCAGACCAAAUUCAGAACUGAAUAUUAACUAUCUGUCAUCCAAAUGGAUUCCAGAUUCACCAUCCAGAUCAAAUCCAGAAGUGAAUGCAGCUAAGUUACCAUUUGUACUAGACCAUGAAGUGAAAUCAUAUGACUCCUGGUCUGAUGUAAACUAGUGAUUUGUUUUUUUUUUAAUCAUCAACAAUGUUUUUUCUUGCUUCUGAAUCUAACAUUGAAGAUUCAUCAUGCCUUUAGGACAGUGAAAAAGAUACAUUCUGUUUGGAUAAAUGUAUUAUUUGUGAAGCUGUCUGAAAUCAACACUUUUGGUCAGAGAUUAUUUGGUGAUCGAUUUCAUAUGGACUAUGAACAAACAACUCAACACCCAUCUUUGCAGUUUCUUCAAAUCACUCUCCAGCCUGAAUAUACUUGUUUUUUCUUAUGGACCUACUUUUGGGACAGCUGCUAUGAUUCUCAACAUUAUUAUAUUUUGCUUGCUUUUGCCAUCUGGAACUGUGAGUACAUCAUCUGCAACCACUGGGACUAUAAGUACUGAACCAUUUCUUAAUAUACAUACAUUUAUUGCUAAAAAUAGAGACAAACAUUUGGUUAGAGUUGAAUCAUGAACACCUAAAUGGCAUCCACAAUUUAAUACUUUUUUGCUGCCUUGUACACUUAUGCACAGACUCUGAAUAUUAAUGGUUGUUGGGUUUCUGCACAUAUACCUACUGCAGAUGAUGGCGGUAUUACAUUGAUCCCUAUACCAGUGACUGAUACAGAGCUUCAUACUCAUUUCAAACAGUUUUUAUCCCUAAAAAGUCAAAAUGCUAAACAUGCUGUUUCAACUAUCAAUGACCUAAAGGUCAUAUUUGCUAUUAUAAAAAUGGAACAUUAUUUCUGGAAAUAGUGUUUGCAAUUUUACUUGGAUAAUUUAUGAUGGGGGCUGGAGGGCACGGUAUGAUUUCAUAAAUAUUAUAUUUGUGGAAAUCAAGCUUAGCUCUGGUUACCUACAGAAUGGUCUGUGUUUUUUUUUUUUUUUGUAUAGGUUGUGUUAUACCAGCUAAGCGACAUACAGCAGUUUAACCUGAAGGAAAGCUUUGUAAUGCUCAUCACAGAAGAGAUACUAAAGACAUUCCAAACCCAUCUGGAAAAAUAGAUGCUUCCUGGGUUUAUCAUAAUACUGCUCAAAAGACUUGCUCACAUAGAUCUUAGUGGUUCAGUCAUUUCUGGAGCAGGAAUUAUUCCUGCUUAUGGGGAGGUAAAAUCCAUUUGGAAGUGGAAAAAAAACUGUCUGAGCUUUUAGAAAUUUUAUAUAGCUCCACCUUUGAGUUCAUUAAUUUGAUUACUCAAGAAAUGACUGCCAUAUGCAGUGUGCCACUUGAUUACACCCUUGCAUCUAAAGAGGGGUACAUGUGCAUUCAUCUAAAAGGUGUGCUGCUCAUUUAUUCUCGAUAAUACUGGUACUAUUCAUAGUUGCCUAGACGUAAUUCAAAAAGUUGUUGAAAUUUCACGUUAAAGAAACUGAUAGUUCCCAGUGGACAUGGUUAACUAAUCUUUUCUCUGGAUGGGGAGGAGGCAUUUUGAAAUUAUUUAUGCUCAUAGCUAUUUCAGUCGUAUUAUUAGGCCUUAUUUUACUUCUGUUAAAAGCUUGUAUUUUAAAGCUAUUAGAAUUUAAAAGAGGUGUCACCUUAAAACUGAAUCAAGUUAAAUCAAUGCCACAGACCAUAUUAAAUAAAAUCAUUGUUCAUUAAAGAAUGACAAUAAAGUUUUACAAGAUUUUAGCAGAUUGUAAUUUUAAUAUAUAUAAGUGGGAAUGUGAAAACAAAUAUUAAAGUUGUAAUGUAUAUAUAACUGAGAAUUAUUUAUAGUGUUCCAGUUGUGUUUUCAUUCCAUCAAGACAUAGACAUGUUUUAUUGCUAAUAAAACCAUAUUUUUGAAAGGACUGUAUAAAAUCAGUUGGGCUAGAAACAGAAGGAUAUUUCACACAAAGUGUGUUUCACAGCAAGUGAAAAAGUGUCCUCUCAUCUAAAAACCUGUAGUCAUUAUACAGUCAUAAAGAAGUAUAUGAUGUGAGUGGUGCUUUACAGUAUCAGAUAGGAGGAAUGUGAAGGGU